rnacentral:rRNA from 1 species
UACAGAGGGUGCAAGCGUUGUUCGGAAUUAUUGGGCGUAAAGGGCGUGUAGGCGGUGAGUUAAGUCUUCUGUGAAAGCUGUGGGCUUAGCCUGCAAAGUGCAGAGGAAACUGGCUGACUUGAGUAUUGGAGAGGGCAGGGGAAUACCCAGUGUAGAGGUGAAAUUCGUAGAGAUUGGGUGGAACACCAGUGGCGAAGGCGCCUGCCUGGCUGAUUACUGACGCUGAGACUCGAAAGCAUGGGGAGCAAACAGG